rnacentral:rRNA from 1 species
ACAGCAGCCGCCACGGGAACACGUAGGGUGCGAGCGUUAAUCGGAAUUACUGGGCGUAAAGCGCGCGCGGGCGGUUGUGUAAGACAGGUGUGAAAUCCCCGGGCUUAACCUGGGAACUGCGCUUGUGACUGCACAGCUAGAGUAUGGCAGAGGGGGGUGGAAUUCCACGUGUAGCAGUGAAAUGCGUAGAGAUGUGGAGGAACACCGAUGGCGAAGGCAGCCCCCUGGGCCAAUACUGACGCUCAUGCACGAAAGCGUGGGGAGCAAACAGGAUUAGAUACCCGGGUAGUCCCUGUCUCUUAUAC